UUCCAUGGACUAGGUCAGGACUCAGGACUCAUAAUUCAUAAACCAUAAUGUCUCUAACUUUCUACUAAGCUCAUCCUCCAUUUACCAAAUUUAUUACCUCAAGUUCAGGUUAUAAGGUUUAACUAUGUCAACUUUUGAAACUUUACAUUUCAUCUCCAAAUUUCCCGCCGUUUAUCUUUUCUCUCUCCUCCUUCGCGCCCCAUCACAAAAUUCGCUAUCACAUUCGAUCAUCAUCAGAAUUGAAGGUCUUCAAGCUGUAAUUGAUCACAAAUUCGACAAUCAUAGAUUGGUGGGGAGGACCUACGGAAAUUUGCAAAAAAGUAAAAGUAGGAGGGAACAAGGGAGAGCAGCAGGUCACUGAAAACCAAAACAGUUCUACAUGCAAGUUUUGCUGAUAAUGUUUCUGCUAGCAAUAAUUUUGGCAAUAGAUGUGGAAUCAAAUUCAAUAACCACAGAGGGAUCAGUAAAUACC